rnacentral:rRNA from 1 species
UUAAGCGACUAAGCGUACACGGUGGAUGCCCUGGCAGUCAGAGGCGAUGAAGGACGUGCUAAUCUGCGAAAAGCGUCGGUAAGGUGAUAUGAACCGUUAUAACCGGCGAUGUCCGAAUGGGGAAACCCAGUGUGAUUCGUCACACUAUCGUUAACUGAAUACAUAGGUUAACGAGGCGAACCGGGGGAACUGAAACAUCUAAGUACCCCGAGGAAAAGAAAUCAACCGAGAUUCCCCCAGUAGCGGCGAGCGAACGGGGAGCAGCCCAGAGUCUGAAUCAGCUUGUGUGUUAGUGGAACGGUCUGGAAAGUCCGACGGUACAGGGUGAUAGUCCCGUACACCAAAAUGCACAGGUUGUGAACUCGAAGAGUAGGGCGGGACACGUGGUAUCCUGUCUGAAUAUGGGGGGACCAUCCUCCAAGGCUAAAUACUCCUGACUGACCGAUAGUGAACCAGUACCGUGAGGGAAAGGCGAAAAGAACCCCGGCGAGGGGAGUGAAAAAGAACCUGAAACCGUGUACGUACAAGCAGUGGGAGCACCUUCGGGUGUGACUGCGUACCUUUUGUAUAAUGGGUCAGCGACUUAUAUUCUGUAGCAAGGUUAACCGUAUAGGGGAGCCGCAGGGAAACCGAGUCUUAACUGGGCGUUAAGUUGCAGGGUAUAGACCCGAAACCCGGUGAUCUAGCCAUGGGCAGGUUGAAGGUUGGGUAACACUAACUGGAGGACCGAACCGACUAAUGUUGAAAAAUUAGCGGAUGACUUGUGGCUGGGGGUGAAAGGCCAAUCAAACCGGGAGAUAGCUGGUUCUCCCCGAAAGCUAUUUAGGUAGCGCCUCGUGAACUCAUCUUCGGGGGUAGAGCACUGUUUCGGCUAGGGGGUCAUCCCGACUUACCAACCCGAUGCAAACUACGAAUACCGAAGAAUGUUAUCACGGGAGACACACGGCGGGUGCUAACGUCCGUCGUGAAGAGGGAAACAACCCAGACCGCCAGCUAAGGUCCCAAAGUCAUGGUUAAGUGGGAAACGAUGUGGGAAGGCACAGACAGCCAGGAUGUUGGCUUAGAAGCAGCCAUCAUUUAAAGAAAGCGUAAUAGCUCACUGGUCGAGUCGGCCUGCGCGGAAGAUGUAACGGGGCUAAACCAUGCACCGAAGCUGCGGCAGCGACACUAUGUGUUGUUGGGUAGGGGAGCGUUCUGUAAGCCUGCGAAGGUGACCUGUGAGGGUUGCUGGAGGUAUCAGAAGUGCGAAUGCUGACAUAAGUAACGAUAAAGCGGGUGAAAAGCCCGCUCGCCGGAAGACCAAGGGUUCCUGUCCAACGUUAAUCGGGGCAGGGUGAGUCGACCCCUAAGGCGAGGCCGAAAGGCGUAGUCGAUGGGAAACAGGUUAAUAUUCCUGUACUUGGUGUUACUGCGAAGGGGGGACGGAGAAGGCUAUGUUAGCCGGGCGACGGUUGUCCCGGUUUAAGCAUGUAGGCUGGUUAUCCAGGCAAAUCCGGAUAAUCAAGGCUGAGGUGUGAUGACGAGGCACUACGGUGCUGAAGUAACAAAUGCCCUGCUUCCAGGAAAAGCCUCUAAGCAUCAGGUAACAUCAAAUCGUACCCCAAACCGACACAGGUGGUCAGGUAGAGAAUACCAAGGCGCUUGAGAGAACUCGGGUGAAGGAACUAGGCAAAAUGGUGCCGUAACUUCGGGAGAAGGCACGCUGGUGUGUAGGUGAAGCCCCUGCGGGUGGAGCUGAGACCAGUCGAAGAUACCAGCUGGCUGCAACUGUUUAUUAAAAACACAGCACUGUGCAAACACGAAAGUGGACGUAUACGGUGUGACGCCUGCCCGGUGCCGGAAGGUUAAUUGAUGGGGUUAUCCGUAAGGAGAAGCUCUUGAUCGAAGCCCCGGUAAACGGCGGCCGUAACUAUAACGGUCCUAAGGUAGCGAAAUUCCUUGUCGGGUAAGUUCCGACCUGCACGAAUGGCGUAAUGAUGGCCAGGCUGUCUCCACCCGAGACUCAGUGAAAUUGAACUCGCUGUGAAGAUGCAGUGUACCCGCGGCAAGACGGAAAGACCCCGUGAACCUUUACUAUAGCUUGACACUGAACAUUGAGCCUUGAUGUGUAGGAUAGGUGGGAGGCUUUGAAGCGUGGACGCCAGUCUGCGUGGAGCCAACCUUGAAAUACCACCCUUUAAUGUUUGAUGUUCUAACGUUGGCCCCUUACCGGGGUUGCGGACAGUGUCUGGUGGGUAGUUUGACUGGGGCGGUCUCCUCCCAAAGCGUAACGGAGGAGCACGAAGGUUAGCUAAUCCUGGUCGGACAUCAGGAGGUUAGUGCAAUGGCAUAAGCUAGCUUGACUGCGAGCGUGACGGCGCGAGCAGGUGCGAAAGCAGGUCAUAGUGAUCCGGUGGUUCUGAAUGGAAGGGCCAUCGCUCAACGGAUAAAAGGUACUCCGGGGAUAACAGGCUGAUACCGCCCAAGAGUUCAUAUCGACGGCGGUGUUUGGCACCUCGAUGUCGGCUCAUCACAUCCUGGGGCUGAAGUAGGUCCCAAGGGUAUGGCUGUUCGCCAUUUAAAGUGGUACGCGAGCUGGGUUUAGAACGUCGUGAGACAGUUCGGUCCCUAUCUGCCGUGGGCGCUGGAGAAUUGAGGGGGGCUGCUCCUAGUACGAGAGGACCGGAGUGGACGCAUCACUGGUGUUCGGGUUGUCAUGCCAAUGGCACUGCCCGGUAGCUAAAUGCGGAAGAGAUAAGUGCUGAAAGCAUCUAAGCACGAAACUUGCCCCGAGAUGAGUUCUCCCUGAGACUUUAAGUCUCCUGAAGGAACGUUGAAGACGACGACGUUGAUAGGCCGGGUGUGUAAGCGCAGCGAUGCGUUGAGCUAACCGGUACUAAUGAACCGUGAGGCUUAACCUU